AUUGAACGCUGGCGGCAUGCUUUACACAUGCAAGUCGAACGGCAGCACGGGUGCUUGCACCUGGUGGCGAGUGGCGAACGGGUGAGUAAUGCAUCGGAACGUGCCCAUGAGUGGGGGAUAGCCCGGCGAAAGCCGGAUUAAUACCGCAUACGCCCUUAGGGGGAAAGCGGGGGAUCUUCGGACCUCGCGCUAUUGGAGCGGCCGAUGUCGGAUUAGCUAGUAGGUGAGGUAAAGGCUCACCUAGGCGACGAUCCGUAGCUGGUCUGAGAGGAUGAUCAGCCACACUGGGACUGAGACACGGCCCAGACUCCUACGGGAGGCAGCAGUGGGGAAUUUUGGACAAUGGGCGCAAGCCUGAUCCAGCCAUGCCGCGUGAGUGAAGAA
rnacentral:rRNA from 1 species